UACGUAGGGGGCUAGCGUUGUCCGGAUUUAUUGGGCGUAAAGAGCGUGUAGGCGGCCAGGUAGGUCUGCUGUGAAAACUCGAGGCUCAACCUCGAGACGUCGGCGGAAACCAUCUGGCUAGAGUCCGGAAGAGGAGAGUGGAAUUCCUGGUGUAGCGGUGAAAUGCGCAGAUAUCAGGAAGAACACCUAUGGCGAAGGCAGCUCUCUGGGACGGUACUGACGCUGAGACGCGAAAGCGUGGGGAGCGAACAGG
rnacentral:rRNA from 1 species